GACAGAGGUGCCGAGCGUUAGGCGGAAUCACUGGGCUUAAAGCGUGUGUAGGCGGGUCCGUAAGUACCUUGUGAAAUCCCAUGGCUCAACCAUGGAACUGCUUGGUAUACUGCGGAUCUUGAGCCACCUAGGGGCAAGUGGAACAAACGGUGGAGCGGUGAAAUGCGUAGAUAUCGUUUGGAACGCCAAUGGUGAAAACAACUUGCUGGGGGUGUGCUGGACGCUGAGACACGAAAGCCAGGGGAGCAAACGGG
rnacentral:rRNA from 1 species